AUUGAACGCUGGCGGCAGGCCUAACACAUGCAAGUCGAGCGGAUGAAGGGAGCUUGCUCCUGGAUUCAGCGGCGGACGGGUGAGUAAUGCCUAGGAAUCUGCCUGGUAGUGGGGGAUAACGUCCGGAAACGGGCGCUAAUACCGCAUACGUCCUGAGGGAGAAAGUGGGGGAUCUUCGGACCUCACGCUAUCAGAUGAGCCUAGGUCGGAUUAGCUAGUUGGUGGGGUAAAGGCCUACCAAGGCGACGAUCCGUAACUGGUCUGAGAGGAUGGUCAGUCACACGGGAACUGAGACACGGUCCAUGCUCCUACGGGAGGCAGCAGUGGGGAAUAUUGGGCAAUGGGCGAAAGCCUGAUCCAGCCAUGCCGCGUGUGUGAAGAAGGUCUUCGGAUUGGAAAGCACUUUAAGUUGGGAGGAAGGGCAGUAAGUUAAUACCUUGCUGUUUUGACGUUACCAACAGAAUAAGCACCGGCUAACUUCGUG
rnacentral:rRNA from 1 species